rnacentral:rRNA from 1 species
AGGGGGUGGCGCUUCGGGAUGGGCCUGCGGCCUAUCAGCUAGUUGGUAGGGUAACGGCCUACCGAGGCGAAGACGGGUAGGGGGCGUGAGAGCGCGACCCCCCACACUGGCACUGAGAUACGGGCCAGACUCCUACGGGAGGCAGCAGUCGGGGAUAUUGCACAAUCGGCGAAAGCCGGAUGCAGCGACGCCGCGUGGAUGACGAAGGCCUUCGGGUUGUAAAAUCCUUUUAUGGGGGAAGAGAUCAGGACGGUACCCCAUGAAUAAGUCCCGGCUAACUACGUGCCAGCAGCCGCGGUAAAACGUAGGGGACAAGCGUUAUCCGGAUUUACUGGGCGUAAAGAGCGUUGAGGCGGUUCCGUAAGUUGGGCGUGAAAGCCCCGGGCUUAACCCGGGGAGGUCGUUCAAUACUGCGGGGCUUGAGGGCAGCAGAGGGAGGUGGAACUCCCGGUGUAGCGGUGAAAUGCGUAGAUAUCGGGAGGAACACCAGUGGCGAAGGCGGCCUCCUGGGCUGCUCCUGACGCUGAAGGCGAAAGCUAGGGUAGCGAACGGGAUUAGAAACCCCGGUAGUCCUAGCUGUAAACGAUGGAUGCUGGGUGUGGGGGGUGUAGAUUCCCUCCGUGCCGAAGCUAACGCGUUAAGCAUCCCGCCUGGGGACUACGGCCGCAAGGCUAAAACUCAAACGAAUUGACGGGGACCCGCACAAGCAGCGGAGCGUGUGGUUUAAUUCGAUGCUACACGAGGAACCUUACCUGGGCUUGACAUAUAAGUGGUAGCGAAGCGAAAGCGGAGCGACCCUUCGGGGAGCUUAUACAGGUGCUGCAUGGCUGUCGUCAGCUCGUGCUGUGAGGCGUCGGGUUAAGUCCCGUAACGAGCGCAACCCUUGCCCUUAGUUAUAGGUGUCUAAGGGGACUGCCCGGGACAACUGGGAGGAAGGUGGGGAUGAGGUCAAGUCAGCAUGGCCUUUAUGUCCAGG